GAAAGUCACCGCGCUCUUCAGCAGGAACAAACACACACACCUGAGAGACACGAGAGGACACUGAUCUGCUCCACAUUCAACGUGUGUUUCUGAAGAGGACAGAGACUUCAAGGAGACUUGAGAAACUGAUUAACUAGAAUAACAGCAGAACGACUGAACGAGAAACGCCAAUCUCAGAAUAAAGUCUUAGCACAUCUCCAUACUCCAGGUCUGCUCCUGUAAGCCGUGUCUUCCCGCUCUUUCCAGUAAAUCUGCUGUUGUUGGAGAAACGUCUCGCUCAGCAGGUCGGGUCUCUUUGUGACAUCGCGUUGGGUUUGGCUGUUUUGUUCCCAUAUAAUAAUUUAUUGCACCGACUUGAAUUCAAAACCAAAAACUCAAGUCGAUGCUUGUCUUCUGAAGUUCACGCUUGUGAAACAAAGUCUGCUUUCCCUGCAAGAAUCAAACCCACAAUCCAUAUAAUCCCGACCUAAACAACCUUUAUGAUUUCUGUGCCUUUAUUUGGUGACAAAGUGCUUUAAUCUGAACUGAAAGCACAUGUUUUUGUACGUUCAAUCCUUUGCAUUGUUCAUGACAAAGACAUUUAAAUCGUAACUAAACCAUUAAA